rnacentral:tRNA from 1 species
UAAGGUGUAGCUCAGUGAUAGAGUGGUUGCCUAGUAUGCACAAGGCCUUGGAUUCCAUCUCCAACACCACAA